GCGCCCAUGGUGUAGUGGGAACCCGUCUGCCUUCCAAGCAGAAGAUGCGAGUUCGAUUCUCGCUGGGCGCU
rnacentral:tRNA from 1 species